GGAUGAACGCUAGCGGCAGGCCUAACACAUGCAAGUCGAGGGGUAACAUAAGUGCUUGCACUUGAUGACGACCGGCGGACGGGUGCGUAACGCGUAUACAAUCUACCUAUUACUAAGAGAUAGCCCAGAGAAAUUUGGAUUAAUAUUUUAUGGUAUUACGAUUUGGCAUCAAGUUGUAAUUAAAGGUAACGGUAAUAGAUGAGUAUGCGUCCUAUUAGCUAGAUGGUAAGGUAACGGCUUACCAUGGCAACGAUAGGUAGGGGGCCUGAGAGGGUGAUCCCCCACACUGGUACUGAGACACGGACCAGACUCCUACGGGAGGCAGCAGUGAGGAAUAUUGGUCAAUGGGCGCGAGCCUGAACCAGCCAUGCCGCGUGCAGGAAGACGGCCCUCUGGGUUGUAAACUGCUUUUAUACGGGAAUAAACCAUCGAACGUGUUCGAUGCUGAAGGUACCGUAAGAAUAAGGAUCGGCUAACUCCGUGCCAGCAGCCGCGGUAAUACGGAGGAUCCAAGCGUUAUCCGGAUUUAUUGGGUUUAAAGGGUCCGUAGGCGGGCAAUUAAGUCAGAGGUGAAAUCCUGCAGCUCAACUGUAGCAUUGCCUUUGAUACUGGUUGUCUUGAGUGUAAUUGAAGUGGGCGGGAAAUGUGUCAUGUAGCGGUGAAAUGCAUAGAUAUGACACAGAACACCGAUUGCGAAGGCAGCUCACUAAGUUACAACUGACGCUGAUGGACGAAAGCGUGGGGGGCGAACAGGAUUAGAUACCCUGGUAGUCCACGCCGUAAACGAUGAUCACUCGCUGUUGGCGAUAUACAGUCAGCGGCCAAGCGAAAGCAUUAAGUGAUCCACCUGGGGAGUACGUUCGCAAGAAUGAAACUCAAAGGAAUUGACGGGGGCCCGCACAAGCGGUGGAGCAUGUGGUUUAAUUCGAUGAUACGCGAGGAACCUUACCUGGGCUUAAAUGUAGUGUGACAGACUUGGAAACAGGUUUUUCUUCGGACACAUUACAAGGUGCUGCAUGGUUGUCGUCAGCUCGUGCCGUGAGGUGUCGGGUUAAGUCCCGUAACGAGCGCAACCCCUAUCUUUAGUUGCCAGCGGUUCGGCCGGGGACUCUAAAGAAACUGCCCGCGCAAGCGGAGAGGAAGGUGGGGAUGACGUCAAAUCAUCACGGCCCUUACGUCCAGGGCUACACACGUGCUACAAUGGUGUUGACAGCGGGCAGCUACCCUGCGAAGGGGAGCUAAUCCUACAAACAACAUCUCAGUUCGGAUCGCAGUCUGCAACUCGACUGCGUGAAGCUGGAAUCGCUAGUAAUCGCAUAUCAGCCAUGAUGCGGUGAAUACGUUCCCGGGCCUUGUACACACCGCCCGUCAAGCCAUGGGAGCCGGGGGUGCCUGAAGUCGGUAACCGCAAGGAGCUGCCUAGGGUAAAACUGGUGACUGGGGC
rnacentral:rRNA from 1 species